rnacentral:rRNA from 1 species
GAUGAACGCUGGCGGCGUGCCUAAUACAUGCAAGUCGAGCGAACGGACGAGAAGCUUGCUUCUCUGAUGUUAGCGGCGGACGGGUGAGUAACACGUGGAUAACCUACCUAUAAGACUGGGAUAACUUCGGGAAACCGGAGCUAAUACCGGAUGAUAUUUUGAACCGCAUGGUUCAAAAGUGAAAGACGGUCUUGCUGUCACUUAUAGAUGGAUCCGCGCUGCAUUAGCUAGUUGGUAAGGUAACGGCUUACCAAGGCAACGAUGCAUAGCCGACCUGAGAGGGUGAUCGGCCACACUGGAACUGAGACACGGUCCAGACUCCUACGGGAGGCAGCAGUAGGGAAUCUUCCGCAAUGGGCGAAAGCCUGACGGAGCAACGCCGCGUGAGUGAUGAAGGUCUUCGGAUCGUAAAACUCUGUUAUUAGGGAAGAACAUAUGUGUAAGUAACUUUGCACAUCUUGACGGUACCUAAUCAGAAAGCCACGGCUAACUACGUG